AGAGUUUGAUCCUGGCUCAGAUUGAACGCUGGCGGCAUGCUUUACACAUGCAAGUCGAACGGCAGGCACAGGGAGCUUGCUCCCGGGUGGCGAGUGGCGCACGGGUGAGUAAUACAUCGGAACGUGUCCUGUUGUGGGGGAUAACUGCUCGAAAGGGUGGCUAAUACCGCAUGAGACCUGAGGGUGAAAGCGGGGGAUCGCAAGACCUCGCGCAAUUGGAGCGGCCGAUGCCCGGAUUAGCUAGUUGGUGAGGUAAAGGCUCACCAAGGCGACGACCGGUAGCUGGUCUGAGAGGACGACCAGCCACCACUGGGACUGAGACACGGCCCAGACUCCUACGGGAGGCAGCA
rnacentral:rRNA from 1 species